rnacentral:rRNA from 1 species
AGCGAACGCUGGCGGUAGGCCUAACACAUGCAAGUCGAACGGCAGCACAGUAAGAGCUUGCUCUUACGGGUGGCGAGUGGCGGACGGGUGAGGAAUACAUCGGAAUCUACUUUUUCGUGGGGGAUAACGUAGGGAAACUUACGCUAAUACCGCAUACGACCUACGGGUGAAAGCAGGGGAUCUUCGGACCUUGCGCGAUUGAAUGAGCCGAUGUCGGAUUAGCUAGUUGGCGGGGUAAAGGCCCACCAAGGCGACGAUCCGUAGCUGGUCUGAGAGGAGGAUCGGCCACACUGGAACUGAGACACGGUCCAGACUCCUACGGGAGGCAGCAGUGGGGAAUAUUGGACAAUGGGCGCAAUCCUGAUCCAGCCAUACCGCGUGGGUGAAGAAGGCUUUCGGGUUUUAAAGCCCUUUUGUUGGGAAAGAAGAGCAGCAGGUUAAUACCCCGCUGUUCUGACGGUACCCAAAGAAUAAGCAACGGCUAACUUCGUG